rnacentral:rRNA from 1 species
UAAGCGGAGGAAAAGAAACCAACAGGGAUUGCCUCAGUAACGGCGAGUGAAGCGGCAACAGCUCAAAUUUGAAAUCUGGCCUCUUUGGGGUCCGAGUUGUAAUUUGUAGAGGAUGUUUCGGGUACCGCCUCGGUUUAAAUUUCUUGGAACAGAAUGUCAAAGAGGGUGAGAAUCCCGUCUUGGACCGGCGGUAGGGCCCAUGUGAAACUCCUUCGACGAGUCGAGUUGUUUGGGAAUGCAGCUCAAAAUGGGUGGUAAAUUUCAUCUAAAGCUAAAUAUUGGCCAGAGACCGAUAGCGCACAAGUAGAGUGAUCGAAAGAUGAAAAGCACUUUGAAAAGAGAGUUAAACAGUAUGUGAAAUUGUUGAAAGGGAAGCGCUUACAACCAGACUUGCGCGCGGCGGUUCCCCCUUCCUUUUGGUUGGGCUACUCCGUCGUGUCCAGGCCAACAUCGGUUCUGGGGGUCGGUUAAAGACCCUGGGAAUGUACCUACCCUUCGGGCGUAGACUUAUAGCCCAGGGUGUCAUGCGACCUCCCGGGACCGAGGAACGCGCUUCGGCUCGGAUGUUGGCGUAAUGGUUGUCAGCGACCCGUCUUGAAACACGGACCAAGGAGUCUAACAUCUAUGCGAGUGUUUGGGUGUCAAACCCGGAACGCGAAAUGAAAGUGAACGGAGGUGGGAAGCCGUGAGGCUGCACCAUCGACCGAUCCUGAUGUCUUCGGAUGGAUUUGAGUAAGAGCAUAGCUGUUGGGACCCGAAAGAUGGUGAACUAUGCCUGAAUAGGGUGAAGCCAGAGGAAACUCUGGUGGAGGCUCGCAGCGGUUCUGACGUGCAAAUCGAUCGUCAAAUUUGGGUAUAGGGGCGAAAGACUAAUCGAACCAUCUG